AGUCAGACGUUUUGUAAAUGUCGGAGCUGGACCACGAGAGAGUCCUGGACUGAUGGCUCCAGCACACGAUCACUUAGCCACAGGCUGGAGUUGUUAUGCGCAGCACCUUGGCUUGCUUUCCCUAAGCACACCUCAAAUUGAAAGGGAGGUAAAGCCUCAUCAGUGAAACAGGCAAAUGCUGGGGUAGUGAGUCAUCUCCAGCUCUGAGAAGGGGAAAUGCCUAGAGCAAGGGCUACAGCCUUAACAGCCCCACCAGUUCCCAGUUCCAAUAUUGUUUCCUGGAAUGAACUUUUACAACCAGGAAGAAGCUAUUUAAAACCUUCAUUACGAUACUUUAGCAUCUCACCAUGAAGGAUAUUUAAAAGCAAAAUGACCUGAAGCAGGUGUGAGUAAUCUGUGGAUAGAACAGAGCUCUGCUCCAGGCGCAAGCACUGCUGUAGGUAAAGUGCUGAAGAAGAGGAAGACUACAGGCUAUUUAUCCAUGGCGGCAGCACAGCUUGGGGCAAGGCAGAGCUAAGACGACCCCUCUGUCUUUGUGAAGAUGCCAGAGGAAACCACCAAAGUCAUCUUACUUAAGAAAACAUCGCAGAUAUAGAUAAAGAAUAUUUUCAUGGUCUUAAGGAUACUAAUGAAAAAGAAAGAGUUUCAAGCAAAAACCAAGCUGUUCAUCUUAUCAGGAGAAUCUGGGGAAGAAUCUGAUUCCAAAUUCAUUCAGGGUUUUGCCGAUUUGGAUCCUGGGCGUGGACCUAGCACCACUCAUCAAGCCAUGCUGAGGCAUCAUCCCACGUAGCAGAAACAGAAGGACCUACAACUAGAAAUAUGGCUGUUGUGACAAAGUGCCACAAACUGGAUGGCUGAAACCUACACAAAUUUUAUUCCGUCGCAGUCCGGAGACUAAGAUGUCUCAAAUCAAGAGUGCUUGUCAUCUUGCUCCCACCUCAGCCCACAUUUCCUUCGGCUGAUAACAGUUUCUAUAUUGGUCAUGGGUUAACUAACCUACCGAGUCUUUUUAUCUUCAAAAUUCCGUGAACAUGAAAUAUUACAUUUGAACUGAUUCAUACAACGAGUUGAGGAAGAGUCAACUAAGAGAAACCUAACAUGUUGUAUAGCGUGACAUAGACGCAAUCUUACAAUCUAUCCAACGCAUUUUAAGAAAAAGUGAAGGAGGACCCCUUGGUAUAGAGAUGGGUCUCCUUAGGUCUACUUCUGCUUUUAUCCAGCAUUUUCCUAUGUAUUUCAGUAUAUUCCCCUUUGUAAAAAUUCUAAUUCAGAAAUUAUCUGAACGAUGGCAAUUUUCAUGAAACGCUUUUUCAACACAGAGUUGUUCCCUUUACACAAAAAUGAAAUACAAAUCACCAGUGUUUUUAUUGCUUACAAACAGAAGUUGGACAAAAAUUUGAUACAUCGAUGUAAAGUAUUCUGGUAAUUAAUAUGGAAUUUUGAGGUUCAUAAAAAAUCACUACACUCAACAGAGCUUCAUCACACCACAUAACAGAUUGAUUUUUAAUGUAGUGUAGUCAUUAGUCUCAGUGAGUAGAGAUUACUGACUAUAAUUAGUUUUGGUGACUUAGAAAAAAUAUUAUCUAUGGUGAUUGAUGAUACUCUAGCUGUGCAUAUGAGAGUCAAUAAUUAAAUUGAAUUACAUUCAAAGCAUAGAGGGAUUUUUAUGCCACUUUAUUUG
ensembl:lncRNA